GAAAAGUGAUUUGUGUCUACUCCUUAAGUGGGAGUUUUUUCUUCCUCUCCCUUUUUCUAUCUAUUAGAAAAAAGUUGUUUUUACAUUUGAAAUAUUUAAUUGGGUAGUUUUUUAUUUUUCAUCUAAAUUCCACAUUUGAUUUAUUGUUUCAAAAGGGAUUUGAGUUUGUUUCCAUUUGUUCUUUUUCGGGAGUGCUCAAAAUUGCAAUAAAGAUGUACUGCUUCCAUCUAAUCAUGUUUAGACAUUCAAACAAUUUCAUCAGAUCUGUUUUGUUUUGUAUUAGGAGAAGACUAUAUGCAGUAGCAGCAGUACAAAAGAUAAGUAUAACAUAUGCUAUAUAUUGCUAUUUGCUAAUACGUACAUGUUCUUAGUUCUUACCUUCAUACUAGAAUUAAUACUAUAUUUCAAUACAUUCAAACAAAGUAUUACAGGAAUAAUCACAUGGAGUAAUUAUUGAAGAGGGUGCAUUAAACAAUCUUGUACAAAUUGAUAAAUAAUUGAAAUGAAAGGAGUAAUUACAAGUAAAAGUUGCUUUGAACGAAUGUGAAACGAUUAAUAGUAGAAUUGAAAAGAAGCGUAAGCUAUAUAGGCGACGGUGAAGUAGUGCCACCAUCCCAAUUCAAUAGAUGGGCCGCUGCUUCCGGGCCGCACCGGCCGCACUAUGUUACUUCCGCCGCCCUUUGCGCCGCCCCCACCCUUUGCCCCGCCUCCACUUCUUCCGCCGCCGCCGCCUCUGCCACCGCUACUUCCGCCGCUCGCAGGAGCAACUGCGGAGGCGAAGAUGACACAAAUGAUAGUAAGGACGAAAGCAAACUUGGUGACGCGAUGCAUUUUGUUGAUUUGAUUCGGAAUGAUUUGUUGCGCCUCUAAUUUAUAGACGCAACGAGGUUUCUGUGACGAAUGGUACUUUUACACACACACAAGAUGAGAAUCAAGAAUAAAUAAGAUUGCAAAUUCAAUAAUUAAUUAUG
rnacentral:lncRNA from 1 species